AAUUGAAUAAGAACAAGAAUGUGUCCAUAGUACACGGAUGCCCCACUCGCACUAUCAUUUUACAUGUUCACUGGACCGUGAAAUUGGGGUCAAUACUUUAAUUUGGCAUUAAAAUUAGAAAGAUCAUAUCAUAGUUAACAUGUGUACUAAGUUUCAAGUUGAUUGGACUUCAACUUCAUCAAAAACUACCUUGACCAAAAACUUUAACCCGAGCUUCACACUAUCUUCUUCUUUAUUCAGUGGACCAUGAAAUUGGGGUCAAUACUUUAAUUUGACAUUACAAUUAGAAAGAUCAUAUCAUAGGGAACAUGUGUACUAAGUUUCAUCUUCAU
rnacentral:lncRNA from 1 species